GUGGCAACCACAGGAACAUGAGGAAGCUCC
rnacentral:piRNA from 1 species